rnacentral:rRNA from 1 species
UGAGGAAUAUUGGUCAAUUGGACGGAAGUCUGAACCAGCCAAGUAGCGUGCAGGAUGACGGCCCUAUGGGUUGUAAACUGCUUUUGUAUGGGGAUAAAGUCAAUCACGUGUGAUUGUUUGCAGGUACCAUACGAAUAAGGACCGGCUAAUUCCGUGCCAGCAGCCGCGGUAAUACGGAAGGUUCGGGCGUUAUCCGGAUUUAUUGGGUUUAAAGGGAGCGUAGGCCGGAGAUUAAGUGUGUUGUGAAAUGUAGACGCUCAACGUCUGACUUGCAGCGCAUACUGGUUUCCUUGAGUACGCACAACGUUGGCGGAAUUCGUCGUGUAGCGGUGAAAUGCUUAGAUAUGACGAAGAACUCCGAUUGCGAAGGCAGCUGACGGGAGCGCAACUGACGCUGAAGCUCGAAGGUGCGGGUAUCGAACAGGAUUAGAUACCCUGGUAGUCCGCACAGUAAACGAUGGAUGCCCGCUGUUGGUACCUGGUAUCAGCGGCUAAGCGAAAGCAUUAAGCAUCCCACCUGGGGAGUACGCCGGCAACGGUG